rnacentral:lncRNA from 1 species
AAAGAAAAAAAGUAUAAUAAAAUAAAUUUAAAAAUUAAGAACGAGUGUAAUAGUCAGGUUUAAAGAAAUUAAAAUAAAAAUAAAAAUUAAAUAAAAGCUAACAACCGUGCAAGUUAUUCAUGCUGAUAUAUUACAAUUUAAGUUAGAGAUACAAAUUAGAUUUACAAUAUUAAACAUUUUGUUUUUUUUAUAGAGCUCAUCUUCACUGACAAUACAAAUUAAAACACGGAAAAAUUAUAAUAAUUGUUACGCGUUGGACAGAUCUAUAUUCCUCGUAUGUAGAUAAUGUACCAAUUCGAUGUCCAAAGUUAGAAAAAGAUAGUUUGUAGAAUUAAAAAUUGAUAGGCAGGAUGUUGCGUGUUCAGUAGCUGUAGUAAACCUCACAACAAAUAUCCGAGAUAUGUAAUGUCAUUCUUACUGAUAAACGCUCCUCACAAAUAUCCGAUGUAAAGCAAUAAAAGAUCGAAAGUUUAAAUACGUCAAAUGGUUUUUGAGAAAUAAAAUUUGAGCUGUAACAGAGAACACGAUAAAUACAGGAAGAAUGAUAAAAGAAAAUAAAUUAAUUUAAAGCAGCAUCAGAAAAUUUUCUAGUCUUACCUGGGAAUUUUGAAUAUUUCAAAAAAUUUAAGAAUAUUUUCACAGAAUUCUUUUAAUCUAAAUAAACUAAAUUUAAAUAAACAUCUUGGAUACGUCGCCGAUAUAGCGUGUGUCUGAAAACUUGACCUUUGAAGAAGUUGGAAUUGGAAUUAGAGUAUAUAAUUUGUAUGUAAGAGUAUGUAAUUUGUAAUAAAUUGAUUUAUUUUAUUCUUUUUUUGAGAGAUCCUCUGAGAGAAAAGUGUUUGAUAUUUGUAAUUAUAAUAAAUGUUAUAAUUAUUAGAGUUAUAGGCGAGCUUCAUUUUUUUAGGUAUUACUACUACAAUGUUAGAAAUAACGUACAUGUGUUAUACUGGCAAAAAAGUUACAAUCAUAAUUUAAAUUUUAGUUGGUACCGAAAAAGAUUACUAUUAUAUUACGGUUUAAUAUUAAUUUACAGUAAUUUGCAAACUCUAUUUAACUUACAGUAAUUACAAUUCUAUUUUUUGUCAGUGUAACACGUUGUAUGUUAUUAUUAUUAACAUUAUGGCAGUAAUAAUUAUAAAAAUAAAGCUUCUAAUUAUAAUUAUUAAUAUAAAUAUUAACAUUUUAAUUGUAUUAUCAAGUGCAAUACUUUUUUUUCAAUGUCAAUAUUAAGAAGAUUUAAAUAAUAUUAUGAUGUGUUUUGCAGCCUUUUAAUUAAAACUGGAAACUAACAAUUGUCCUUGCGUCGCAACAGGCGUUCAAAGUUACAUUUUUAAUUGCGAUUGACAUAGAUCGAGAAUCAAUUAAAUGGCGCGUGAAAUCCGAGUGCAUGUAUAUGACGAAGGAAUUUCCGCAAUAAAAUUUUGCGAAAUUUUUUGCGACAGAGUGGAGAGGGGGAAGUGCGGCAAAGCCACGCACGAAUUUCUUAGCGGGCACGACGGAGAGGUCGUAACCUUUUCGAGACUCAAUGUGCGAGUUGGUUCGCUCGAGCAAUCGCACGAUUGCCUCGGCGCAAGACUCGCGCGCAAUCGCCGUACGUUCGAUAAAUCGAACGCGGCCUCCCCAGGGCUCUCGCACGCGGGACUGGUUUGCGUUUACUCCGCCGGGCAGGGGUCCGGUUUUUCAACGCGACCGCGAGUCGCGUGUCGUCAAUCGCAACCGGAACGUCCCGUUCAGUUGCGCGGUGCAAUUCUGCCCAUUCACUGUUUAUUAAUAAAAUAUACGACCAUCUGACCUAAGAUCCGUGCAUACUCGUGUGCACGCGUGUAACCGAUGACGUUUCAACGUCACUUAAUCGAUUUAGCAGAACCACAUUUUUGCAAAUUGGAUGUCCUCCUCCUCCCUCCCUUUUCCGCGAAAUUUAUGACAUUUGAAAUUUUAAUGUUAUAAAAUUCUUUCUAUUUGUUUACAUUUUUAAAGUUUAAUUGAAAUUCGAUAUCUUUUAACCAUCGAUGUUUCCAUAUUGAAGCGACCUUUCUUAGAAGAGUUUUUUGUCUACAAUUGCAGAUGAAGGGAUAUUCGAAAGAAUGGGGAUUAAGUUGACCUCAUCGGAAAUGUAUAAAGUAAUUAAUGCACACGCGUGUAAUAAAAAAGUUUUCUUGUUGGCAUAAUGUGCAAUAGAUCGUAAUUGAGUUUCGUAAUGCGGUAAGCGAUAAUGACUUGCAUCAAUCGGAUAUUCUUAUAAUUUGUAUAGCACACUCUUCCAAUAUUUAGUUUUAUUGUUUAUAAUUAAUGCAUACGAAGAAUUAAAUCAAGGAUCACCGUUAUAUAUGUAUAUGAAGAGAGAGAGAGAGAGAGAGAGAGAGAGAGAGAGAGAGAGAGAGAGAGAGAGAGAGAGAAAUGAAUAAUUUCCUUUUAUAUUACUAUUAUAUCAGCUAGAUAAUUUAUCGUAAACAUUUAUCAAUAAUAUACAUUGGUUCAUUAAAAAAAUAUAAUGCUCUCAACAUACAUACAUUCUACAAUUUUUUACAGCUAGUGAAUUUACGAUUACGACUCAAUUAUAACUUCCUUUUUCUUUUUUUAAAUUAUUGUAAAUAUUUAUAUGAAUAUAAUUGCGCUGGUUGUGUGAUAUAACGAACAAGAGAAUAUUGAAACAACAGCUGUGAAAGUUAACAUGUGGACGGACUGGCACAGUUCUCUUUUUGCAACGUAUAUUUUUUGUACAGCACACAAGGCGGCCAUAAUUUCCAAAAACUCGUUAUACUCGGGAUCUGACCAGUGAAGAAAAUGCAUUCGUUAGAGAGUUACAUUCUCGUCGAACGUAUCUUGAAUAUUUUAAUAUAUCUCCUGUUGUAAACUCUCCGAAUCUACGCCACGGAUUGAGAAUUGCAUAUUUAUGUUCUUGAUAAAAGCAAUAUUAUUUGUUACAACAUUUACUGAUUACUAUUAUCGGAAAUAUUGACAAGUUAGUAAAGUUGGUUUAUAAGAAUUACGUAAAAUAGUUGCAAAAUAUACAAAUGAUAUUUAUGUAUAACGCAAGUAAAAUGAAUGUAUUAUUUGAGUUUAUAUCUCUUUUUUGCAUAAUUUUUUGGCAAAAUACAUUUUUGCUGAAUUAUAGUAUAUGGAGAUUUUUGAGGUUAUUAGUUGCAAAUCUGAAAUAAUUGUACUGCAAAAAAUUGAAAACGCAUCCACUAAACGGUUGCUGAGUUAUAACUAUUUUAAUUUUCACUGAUUUUACAUGGUAUCCUUUUCUAUCUUAUGGAAAAAGACAAGGAAAAGGACGAUUUUGACGGAUAAAACAGCUAAAGAAAUAGUACCAGUGUUUUGAAUUUUUUGUACAUCUAGUAUAUGAAUAGAUGAAAAUAUCUGCCAAGUUUCAAUUGUCUUCACUACACCAUUUUAAAGAAAUCAAGAGACACGGUAGUGGCUCGCGCCAAGUGAAAGCGCAGCGCGAGCCCGACCGUGCUCUUUACGCGAGUACGCGACUUGCGAGCACUCGAGAUUAUUGAAUCUCAGAAACGGUUAAAUUGAUCGAGUUUCUAAGUAAGCUCAAUCGAAAGCUUGGGGUCGAUUUAUAUUAGAAAACUAUUUUUAUUUUUUCUCUACAUGUCCUAUGAAUGGAGAUAUCGCGACGCAAAGUCCGAAAAGCCAAAAUUUCAUUUAAGAUACGUCGUCGUCAUCGUCAACCUUGUUGGUAUCUCUGCGGGUAGUGCGGGUGCCGAAAAUGAGGGACGAAAAUCCAUUUCGCUCAUCUACUACCGUGUGGCGUUCGCAUCGUCACUAUAGCACCGUAUAUGGCAAUGUAUAAGUCACGUGGUCACCAGUGGCUCGCUCGCGCCGUGAAUUAGUUGUGUGAAGAUGAUAGGUUAUAUAUGAGGUUUUAUUAUUAUUAAUCAUUGACACCAAUAUAAAUUAAUUAAUUAAUCAGAGAGUAACAUAGCUCAAUUUAUCGAUGAGGUCACAUAAGUUGCUUCGGCCACAGGUCAGCUCCUGUCAAGUGACAUGUGUAGUGGAGGUUAAAUUAUUUAUUUAAUGAUUUUAAUCAUUGACACCAA